CAAGAAUAAGAAAUACCAGUUCGUAGUCAAUUGUACACGAUAGUUGAAAUGCUGUAUCAAGAAGUUGCGGCGAUGAUGCAGAGCCGGUUGAGAUACAUGUCGUACGUGAAGUUGUGGCUGCGAUGCAGUGCCGGUUGAGGUAUAUGUCUGUUGUCCAAGAAGUUGCGGCGAUGGUGCAGAGCCGGUUGAGGUACAUGUCGUACGCGAAGUUGUGGCUGCGAUGCAGUGCCGGUUGAGGUAUAUGUCGU